rnacentral:rRNA from 1 species
GAUGAACGCUGGCGGCGUGCCUAAUACAUGCAAGUCGAGCGAACAGAUAAGGAGCUUGCUCCUUUGAAGUUAGCGGCGGACGGGUGAGUAACACGUGGGUAACCUACCUAUAAGACUGGGAUAACUUCGGGAAACCGGAGCUAAUACCGGAUAACAUUUAGAACCGCAUGGUUCUAAAGUGAAAGAUGGUUUUGCUAUCACUUAUAGAUGGACCCGCGCCGUAUUAGCUAGUUGGUAAGGUAACGGCUUACCAAGGCGACGAUACGUAGCCGACCUGAGAGGGUGAUCGGCCACACUGGAACUGAGACACGGUCCAGACUCCUACGGGAGGCAGCAGUAGGGAAUCUUCCGCAAUGGGCGAAAGCCUGACGGAGCAACGCCGCGUGAGUGAUGAAGGGUUUCGGCUCGUAAAACUCUGUUAUUAGGGAAGAACAAAUGUGUAAGUAACUGUGCACAUCUUGACGGUACCUAAUCAGAAAGCCACGGCUAACUACGUGCCAGCAGCCGCGGUAAUACGUAGGUGGCAAGCGUUAUCCGGAAUUAUUGGGCGUAAAGCGCGCGUAGGCGGUUUCUUAAGUCUGAUGUGAAAGCCCACGGCUCAACCGUGGAGGGUCAUUGGAAACUGGGAAACUUGAGUGCAGAAGAGGAAAGUGGAAUUCCAUGUGUAGCGGUGAAAUGCGCAGAGAUAUGGAGGAACACCAGUGGCGAAGGCGACUUUCUGGUCUGUAACUGACGCUGAUGUGCGAAAGCGUGGGGAUCAAACAGGAUUAGAUACCCUGGUAGUCCACGCCGUAAACGACGAGUGCUAGAUGUUCGAGGGUUUCCGCCCUUGAGUGUCGCAGCUAACGCAUUAAGCACCCCGCCUGGGGAGUACGACCGCAAGGUUGAAACUCAAAGGAAUUGACGGGGACCCGCACAAGCGGUGGAGCAUGUGGUUUAAUUCGAAGCAACGCGAAGAACCUUACCAGGUCUUGACAUCCCUUGACAACGCUAGAAAUAGCGCGUUCCCUUCGGGGACAAGGUGACAGGUGGUGCAUGGUUGUCGUCAGCUCGUGUCGUGAGAUGUUGGGUUAAGUCCCGCAACGAGCGCAACCCUUAUUAUUAGUUGCCAGCAUUCAGUUGGGCACUCUAGUGAGACUGCCGGUGAUAAACCGGAGGAAGGUGGGGAUGACGUCAAAUCAUCAUGCCCCUUAUGACCUGGGCUACACACGUGCUACAAUGGCAUAUACAACGAGUCGCUAACCCGCGAGGGUACGCUAAUCUCUUAAAGUAUGUCUCAGUUCGGAUUGUAGGCUGCAACUCGCCUACAUGAAGUCGGAAUCGCUAGUAAUCGCGGAUCAGAACGCCGCGGUGAAUACGUUCCCGGGUCU